GAUGAACGCUGGCGGCGUGCCUAAUACAUGCAAGUCGAGCGAAGCGGGGACGGGUGAGUACUACGUGGAUAACCUCCUCUAAGACUGGGAUAACUUCGGGAAAGCGGAGAUAAACAGGAUACUUAUUGAUGGUUCCGCGCUGCAUUAGCUAGUUGCUAAGGUAACGGCUUACCAAGGCAACGAUGCAUAGCCGACCUGAGAGGAUGAUCGGCCACACGGGAACUGAGACACGGUCCAGACUCCUACGGGAGGCAGCAGUAGGGAAUCUUCCGCAAUGGGCGAAAGCCUGACGGAGCAACGCCGCGUGAGUGAUGAAGGUCUUCGGAUCGUAAAACUCUGUUAUUAGGGAAGCGGUACCUAAGCAGAAAGCCACGGCUAACUACGUGCCAGCAGCCGCGGUAAUAC
rnacentral:rRNA from 1 species